rnacentral:rRNA from 1 species
UACGUAGGGACCAAGCGUUGUUCGGAUUUACUGGGCGUAAAGGGCGCGUAGGCGGCAACUCAAGUCAUCUGUGAAAUCUCCGGGCUUAACUCGGAACGGUCAGAUGAUACUGCUUUGCUAGAGUGCGGAAGGGGCAAUCGGAAUUCUUGGUGUAGCGGUGAAAUGCGUAGAUAUCAAGAGGAACACCUGAGGUGAAGACGGGUUGCUGGGCCGACACUGACGCUGAUAGCGCGAAAGCCAGGGGAGCAAACGGG